rnacentral:rRNA from 1 species
UACAGAGGGUGCGAGCGUUGUCCGGAAUCACUGGGCGUAAAGGGCGCGUAGGCGGCUUGAUAAGCGUGCGGUGAAAGCCCGGGGCUCAACCCCGGGUCGGCCGUGCGAACUGUCGAGCUGGAGCACUGUAGAGGCAGGUGGAAUUCCGGGUGUAGCGGUGGAAUGCGUAGAGAUCCGGAAGAACACCGGUGGCGAAGGCGGCCUGCUGGGCAGUGGCUGACGCUGAGGCGCGACAGCGUGGGGAGCAA